GCUCAUUCAAUCCGCGCCGCGCAAGAUGGCGCCACCACCACCCACUGCCGCGCGGGGCACGCCGGGACUUGUGGUCCGCCAGCCGCCGCGCAGGGCUCGCCGGAAGCUGUAGUCUCUGGGCACUAAGUACGAGCGAGGCACGCCGGGAGUUGUGGUCUCCCAGCUUGGGGCUCCUCUUGACCCGCUGUGAUUCAAACUCAGGAGAAAGCCGGGCGGAGCUGCAAACCUGUCAUCCUCAGAUUCUGGAAGGCUGAGCCGGGAGGAGCACAAACUGAUGCCUAGCGUUAGCAACUCACAACAACAGAAAAUAUUAAACCAGGAGCAGCGGCGCAUGCCUGUCACCCCAGCACUCCGGAGGCUGAGGCAGGAGGAUCGCCACAAGUCCGAUGGUAGUCCGGGCUACCCAGCUUGACCCUGUCUCAAAAUUACAAAUACAUAAAUAAAACCUUAAGCCAGGGCUGGAGUGUGGGUCAGGGGCGAGGACUUCCGGAAGGUGUGUGAGGCCCCGGGUUCAUCCUCAGC